AUUGAACGCUGGCGGCAUGCCUUACACAUGCAAGUCGAGCGGAUGAAGGGAGCUUGCUCCUGGCUUCAGCGGCGGACGGGUGAGUAAUGCCUAGGAAUCUGCCUUGUCUUUGGGGAUAACGUCCGUACACGGGCGCUAAUACCGCAUACGUCCUGAUGUUGAACGUGGGGGAUCUUCGGACCUCACGCUAUCUGCUGAGCCUAGGUCGGAUUAGCUAGUUGGUUUGGUAAAGGCCUACCAAGGCGACGAUCCGUAACUGGUCUGAGAGGCUGAUCAGUCACACUGGAACUGAGACACGGUCCAGACUCCUACGGGAGGCAGCAGUGGGGAAUAUUGGACAAUGGGCGAAAGCCUGAUCCAGCCAUGCCGCGUGUGUGAAGAAGGUCUUCGGAUUGUAAAGCACUUUAAGUUGGGAGGAAGGGCAGUAAGUUAAUACCUUGAUGUUUUGACGGCACCAAAAGAAUAAGCAACGGCUAACUUCGUG
rnacentral:rRNA from 1 species